rnacentral:rRNA from 1 species
UCGGUACUACCGAUUGAAUGGCUUAGUGAGAUCUUCGGAUUGCCUCUUUUGGCCGCAAGGCUGAAAAUCGGCGAAAAGUUGCUCAAACUUGGUCAUUUAGAGGAAGUAA